UACGGAGGGGGCAAGCGUUGUUCGGAAUCAUUGGGCGUAAAGGGCGCGUAGGCGGCCGAUCAAGUCGGGUGUGAAAUCCCUCGGCUCAACCGAGGAACUGCACUCGAUACUGGUUGGCUCGAGUCCGGGAGGGGAUGGUGGAAUUCCCAGUGUAGCGGUGAAAUGCGUAGAUAUUGGGAAGAACACCGGUGGCGAAGGCGGUUCUCUGGGACGGUACUGACGCUGAGACGCGAAAGCGUGGGGAGCGAACAGG
rnacentral:rRNA from 1 species